UGAGGAAUAUUGGUCAAUGGGCGCAAGCCUGAACCAGCCAAGUCGCGUGAAGGAAGACGGCCCUAUGGGUUGUAAACUUCUUUAGGGUGGGAACAAAGGACGCCACGUGUGGCGAGAUGAGUGUACCACCAGAAUAAGCAUCGGCUAACUCCGUGCCAGCAGCCGCGGUAAUACGGAGGAUGCGAGCGUUAUCCGGAUUUAUUGGGCGUAAAGGGUGCGUAGGCGGUUUGGUAAGUUGGAUGUGAAAUACCCGGGCUUAACUUGGGGGCUGCAUCCAAUACUGUCGGACUUGAGUGCAGGAGAGGAAAGCGGAAUUCCUAGUGUAGCGGUGAAAUGCGUAGAUAUUAGGAGGAACACCGGUGGCGAAGGCGGCUUUCUGGACUGUAACUGACGCUGAGGCACGAAAGCGUGGGGAGCAAACAGGAUUAGAUACCCUGGUAGU
rnacentral:rRNA from 1 species